rnacentral:lncRNA from 1 species
GAAAAGUCAUGUACCCCGACUGACUGGCGAACAUUGUGCUGGUCAAAAAAAAGAAUGAAAAAUGGCGCAUGUGCAUCGACUUCACUAACUUAAACAAAGCCUGUCCUAAGGAUAGCUACUUGUUGUCUUGGAUAGACCAGCUGGUGGAUGCUACUUCUGAAUAUGAGCUCCUCAGCAUCAUGGAUGCCUUCUCUGAUUACAAUAAGAUCUAGAUGGUGCUUGAAGAUAAGAAGAAAAUGGCCUUUGUUACUGACCGUGGACUUUAUUGUUACAGGAUGAUGCCCUUUGGUCUAAAGAAUGUAGGGGCCACCUAUCAGUGGUUGGUGGAUAAAAUUUUCAAAAAUCAGCUCAGCCAUAAUAUGGAGGCAUACGUGGAUAACAUGUUUGUUAAGAGCCAAGCUGCUCCAGACCAUGUUGCUGACCUCCGGAAGACUUUCGACACCUUCCGCCAAUUUUAAAUGAAGUUGAAUCCGAUGAAGUAUGCCUUUGGAGUUACUGCUGGUAAAUUUCUUGGGUUUGUGAUCUCACAAAGAGGUAUUGAAGCAAAUCCAGAGAAGAUCAAGGCUGUCUUUGAGAUGAUGCCACCAAAGACCAUCGAAGAAGUAUAGCGUCUUACUGGUAAGACCGCUUUGCUCAACUACUUUGUUUCUAGGUCGGUCGAAAGGUGCCUCCCUUUCUUUCAAGUCCUCAGACAGCCAAAAGAUUUUCAGUGGACUGUCGAGUGUUAGAAGAUAUUUGAGGAGUUGAAGCAGUAUCUUAGCUCUCCAUCAUUGCUCUCAAACAGCCUGGUGAGAAGUUACUGUAAUACGUCGCCAUCUCUCCAAUGGCGAUCAGUUUAGUCCUUAUCCUAGAGGAAGGAUGGAUUCAGAAGCCUAUAUACUACAAUAGCAAAGUCUUUCACAAUGCAAAGACCAGAUACUUCAAGCUUGAGAAGCUAAUCUUUGCACUGGUUGUUAUAGCGAGGAAGCUAUGGCCUUACUUCCAAACUCACACUGUAGUACUGCUUACGGAUCAAUCGAUCAAGAUCAUUCUCCACCAUGUAGAUAUCUCAGGGUGGGUUGCAAAAUAGGCUCUCGAACUUGCUGAGUUGGAUGUGUAGUACCAUCCAAGACCUGCUAUUAAAGCUCAAGUAUUGGCGGACUUCAUACUAGAAUGCACCAUCCCAAACGAGCAGAGCUCGAGGAAUGGAGAAGGCUCAAAAAGUGAAGAGGCAGAAUUAGUAUCUGACCUAGAGGAGCUAUGGAUGCUGCAUGUCGAUGGCUCGUAAAAUGUAAUAGGGGCAGGGCUGAGCUCAUUUUGAUCAGUCCUGAAGGAGAUGUUGUGGGGUACAUCUUAUAUUUUAAGUUUCUAACAACCAACAAUGAAGCAGAGUAUGAGGCUCUAAUUGUCGACCUCAAAAUAGUGAGAGAAGCAGGGGCCCUAUACCUUAGAGUCUUCAAUGAGUCCUAGCUGACGGUUGGACAAAUCAGGGGCGAACAUGAGGCUCGAGAGGAGAAUAUGAAGAAAUAUCUUCAAACGACAAAAGAUUUAACCUCGAUCUUUUUGAGUUUUGACAUCUAGCAGGUUUCUAGAGCAGACAAUGCUAGGACAGAUGUACUAUCGAAGCUAGCAGCCUUGUUGCCCUCUGACUUGAAGAAUGGGACCUAUUUCGAGAUACUGAAAGCCUCGAGCCUCGAGGAGCCUCUCGUCAUCCAGUAAGUUGAUGAAAAAUCCUAUUGGAUUGAUCCCUUACUCAAGUAUCUUAGGUUAGGCAAACUACCUAUUGACUGCAGGAGGCUUAAAAGAUAAGGAAGCAAGCAGCUUGCUAUAUUCUAUACGAUGAUAAGUUGUACAGGUGAUCAUUCUCUUUGCCCUUGUUAAAAUGCUUGUGUCCGUUCGAGGCUGAUUACGCAUUGCGGAAGGUCCACGAAGGAAUUUACGGAAGACACUUGGAGGGUAGGUUCCUUUCUUAUAAAAUCUUUCGGUAGGGCUAUUAUUGGUCCACUAUGUAGCAAGAUACAGGCGUCUUUGUCAGAAAGUGCAAUCGAUGUCCGAGAAUCUUCAAUAUUCAGCAUCUACCAGUAGCACUUCUGACUCCCAUCAGCACCCCAUAGCUGUUCGCUCAGUGGGGGAUGGAUAUUCUCGAUCUUUUUUCUCUCAUGUCUGGUCAAUGCAAGUUUCUUCUGGUUACCAUCAACUACUUUACAAAGUGGAUCGAAGUCGAGCCACUGACCCACAUAACCGAGGCUAGAGUAAAAAAUUUUAUCUGAAAGUCUAUCAUCUACCGUUAUGGUCUUCCCAGUGUGCUCAUCAUAGAAAAUGAUGGGCAAUUUAGCGGUCUCCAACUUCACGAAUUUUACAGAGGAUAUGGAAUAGAGCAUCACUUUAUCUUAGUGGGCUGCCCACAGGAGAAUGGAGAGGUAGAGGUGACUAACAGAACUCUCCUACAAGGCUUAAAGGCCAGAAUAGAUCGGACUGGAGGAUCUUGAGUAGACGAGCUUCAUCAUAUAUUGUGGGUUUAUCGGAUCACUCAGAGGCUUCUAAUUGGUGAGACUCUUUUCAAUCUUAUGUUCGAGACCAAAGUAGUCAUCCUUAUAGAAUUCGGGCUUCCUCCCCUCAGAGUCGAGGAAUAUGAUGAGAAUACCAAUUCGGUGUGGCUCCAAGCUAUCCUCGACUUGAUUGAAGAAAGUAGAGAACUUACGGUGGUCAGAAUGACUGUUUAUCGUCAAAGGAUGGUCAGAUAUUAUAAUGCUUGGAUCAAAAUCAAAGAAUUCCAUGUUGACGACCUAGUAUUGCAGCGGACUGAGAUUUCACAGCUCACUAAGCAGGAGAAGCUAUCACCUAAUUGAGAGGGCCCUUACCAAGUGAAUGAGGUGGUUCGCCCAGGGACUUAUCGGCUCAAGCGCCUCCAUGGGACUCCACUCCCUAAGUCAUGGAAUUUGGCCAACCUGCAUAUGUACUACCAGUAAUGUUGUAACGCUACAUUAUGUAUUAAUAUGAAUUCUCAGGAUUAUUAAUUUGUGUUUGCUUAUGAAAGUGGCAUGAGAAGCUCUGGAUUCUUUCUUAUGAGUUCUACAAGGAGCUCCUUCGAUCGAAAGCCAUAAUUAACAAAUGAGGGAUAACUUAUUACACCCUCAACCUACGACGUGAAGAUGAGAAGAGCACAUACUGCUCCGCUCGCAAGAUGAGCCGAGCACACGUUGCCUCUCGCCUUAUGAGAAGUGCACAUGCUGCUCCACUCACAAGAUGAGUCGAUCAUAUGCUACCUCUCAUCUUAUGAGAAGUGCACAUGCUGCUCUGCUCACAAGAUGAGCUGAGCACAUGCUGCCUCUCACCUUAUGAGAAGUGCACAUGUUGCUUCGUUCACAAGAUGAGCAGAGCACAUGCUGCCUCUUGCACGAAAAAAAGAAGUGCACAUGUUGCUGCUCACAGGAUGAGCAGAAUAUAAGCUAUUUCUCGCACAAAAACAUACGGGGCAGGGCCAAAUUGCCGCUUGUGGGGCAGAGUCAAAUUGCCGCUCGUGGGGCAAGGCCAAACUGCCGCUCGUGGGGCAGAGCCAAAUUGCCACUCGCGGAGUAGUGCCAAACUGUAGCUCGCGGAGCAGAGCCAGUUGUCCUCUAAUCGGAAUUAUCUCCAUCAAAAUUCAUUUAGGAUAAUUUUAUUAUCUCAAAUUAGAGCGAGAUCAUCUAAAUUCUUAAGGUCCAGAUCGACUCAGAUUGGGAUAGUUCUAAAUACCUUAGGUCAAGGCUCACCUCUAUGCAUUAGAUUGAAAUAUGCAAGCAUGACUAAACGAGACACAUACUCUAUAAAAGAAAGUUCCUUUUCAUUUAUCUAGUUAUUUACAAACAAAAAAAAUACCACCUUACAAAAAAAAAGAAAAAUGAAAAGUUUAAUCCCCAUCCGAUGAAGGAGCCUCUUCGUCACUGAUCUCAGGUUGGAAGCCAUCGAGCUCUAGGUACGACAUCACCUGCAGCAAGUGGGCCUUGUAGUUUUCGAAAGCAUCGAUGAAUUUGGUGGCGGCAAUGUCGAUGGCCUCCCUCUCAAACUCUGUAAAGUCCUAGUACUUCUGGAUGCAGUGAGCCCGGACGUCGGGAAGAAUCUACUCGAAUUGGGGGGUGCGCCCACCCCUAGACCUCGAUGGAGACCAUGAGGUGGAAGGCGCCCUGUGAGAAGUGGAUGGGCUAGCAUGCCUAGCUCUCACUCUCCUUGAGGCCUCUCUUAUAAAAGCCCACCUCUCCUUCACUCUGGCCUUCACCGCUAGCAAAGGAGGAUGCAAAGGGGGACGUGAGGGUGGUGCCAUCAUGACAAAGAGGAGAAGUUUCGACAGAGGAGAAAGAUAAAAUAUAGGGUUUCUAUGCCCUUUGGCUCCUAUUUAUAGGCACCAGUGCCCACACCAAUCACCAAUCGAUGGCCUGAGGGGAUAUAGCUGUCCACCAGAUAAUAAAUGGUGGGCCUUCCCACUAUCAGAAAUAAGUCUAGGUGAUGCUUCUCUAACCAGGAUGUGAUUACGUGGUGCAUUCCUAUAAGUCCUACAUACUUUUCCAGGCACUACUCCAUCAGAAAAGUCAAUAGCCAUCAUUCCCCAUGACCGCUAGUAUUAAAAAGGGUAGAGCAAAAACGUCAUCCGGAUGAUUGUCUCAGAUUGGUGUAUGUUCACCAUUACCUCAGAUCGACAUGUAUUAACUAUUGCCUUGGAUUAGCAUAUGCUAGAAAUUGCCUCUGAUCGGUAGAUGAGAGUAAUUGCCUCUGGUCGGCCCUAGCUCGAAAGAAAAAUUGGUUGGAAAGAAAAAUCAGUUGUUGUUGAAGUUCCUUCAUUCGGAACAUUCCUAACUACAAGAUCUGGUGUCCUAAAUCAGGCUGUGUAUUGCAUAAUAAUGUACAAUCAUGAGUGAAACACAGGAAGUAAGAAGUGCAAAUUUUGUUCAUUCAUCUUCUGUAAAAUAUUUAAAAUGAGAGUUUUUACAAUGAUCUUGAAGGUCCAAGUACAGAAAAAGUAAAAAGCAAAAUAUCUAAAAGUUGGCAUCUGGAGCUGAACCACCUGUCACGGGUUCGUCAGCUACGGUAGGAUCCUAAACUUCGUCUAAAAAGUUUAGAUUCAAUUUUGGAUACUUAGCGACGAUCCUAUCCCGGACCGAUUGCUUUUCAAGAUCGUAAGUAUCAGCAGCAAAUUCAAUCUUCUUGUCUUGAUACUCCACUGACGCUCGAAAGUCUGCAAUGACCUUAGAAGCGGCCUCUGCUGCCUUCUCUUCUGCCGCCCCUAGCUGAGUUUCAAGCUCCUUUAUUAGUCUCAGCAGUCGAGAGUUCUCUUCGAUUGCGGUCGACUUUUCUUGAGCUGAGCCUCAAGCCCCUUUAUUUUUUCUAGUAAUCGGGAGUUCUCCUCAACAGCUCCUUUUAGUGCCGCUUCAGCAUCUUCAGCUCUUUUUUCAAUGGCGUUGGCUCUCAUGGAGGCCUCUCCAGCCUCCCUCGUAGCCUUAUCCUCUGCACCUUUGAGCAUCCCAACCUCGAGCUCGUACUUCUUGCAUCUUUCGCAAGCUCGAUGGAGCUCUCCAUAUAUCCAUUCAAGUAAUGGACGAGCUGUUAAGAGAAACCUCCUGUCAAUGCCCAUGAUAAGUAUGCGCAGAAUGAAUAAAAUUGUAGGGGCUCCCACUUACCCGGAUGAUGAUCUAGCUUGGUCGCGUUGGCUGGGAGGAGCAUUUCGGUGAACAGCUUGUGCAUCAGCUUGUAAUCUUCUAGAGCUGAAGCUUCUAGCUCCAGUCCAGUUGGCGUGGCUCUAGAAACUCUAGCUGGCACUGUCCUAGAAGUCUCAGUUGUCUUUACCGAUGCUUCCUUGGGGGAAGAGUCAACAACUUGGAGACUCGGCAAAGCUGGUGGGCUCCGAGCUCGAAGCCACUGUCCAUUUGAUUUUCUCAAUCCUCAUCGGAGGCCAAAGCAGUUGAUGAACCGACUCUCACAAUUUUGAAGUCACCGGCAUGGGGAGGUUCAAGCUCUUCCGACCUAGAAGCAAGCAGCACUGGGGGAUUUCCAGUCCUAAUAGGGGUGCUUCGGCCAUCCGCAGACUCAGUUGCCUUUUUUCGACGGAUCUUCUUCUCUAAUUUUUUCAUUUCCGUCGGAUCUGUUUCUACAGCAAUCUUUGCAACUGACACAGUCAAAAGUUUAGCAUACAGCCAAAGGCUUAGUAAAAAAAAAAAAAGAAAGUAAAAGUUAAUAUUUUCUCGAGUCUAUAUUAAAUCAUGAGUCGAGACGGCAUGGGAUAUUUUCUAUUUUUACUUUUAAAUUCCAUAUAUCAAUUUAACCAUAUUUUUGAUAAAAUUAAAUUUUUUAUUUNNNNNNNNNNNNNNNNNNNNNNNNNNNNNNNNNNNNNNNNNNNNNNNNNNNNNNNNNNNNNNNNNNNNNNNNNNNNNNNNNNNNNNNNNNNNNNNNNNNNNNNNNNNNNNNNNNNNNNNNNNNNNNNNNNNNNNNNNNNNNNNNNNNNNNNNNNNNNNNNNNNNNNNNNNNNNNNNNNNNNNNNNNNNNNNNNNNNNNNNNNNNNNNNNNNNNNNNNNNNNNNNNUUAUUCUUAUCGUAUGGUUCAUAUAAAUUUGAAUUUUAUCAAAAUAUUUUAUUUAAAAUAAUCAUCAUCUUAAUAGAUCAUUCUUCACAGGACUCUUUGGAACAUGGUCGGGUCCAAUUUAGGUAGGAUUCUAAACCCGAGCCCACUUAAGAUCGUCCUAAGUUUCUGAACCCAACCAAAGUCUAUAACCAAACUUAUCCCCCUAAACACAAGCCUAAAGAACAAUCCGUCUCGCCGACUCGACUUCGAUCUCCCAUCUCUCCUCUCCACCAUCGUCUCCAGGAUUUCUUGGUUUCCUCCCUCCAUUCCCUCUUCUCCUCCAUCGUUGCAGCAGCGGUAACAGCGAUCGAUCGAUCUAGAUAGAUUCGUCUUCGAUCAAUCUCACCUCAUUCUCUUACCUUCACCUCGAAAUAGAAAACCCUAGAGAGAGAUGAUCGGCACGAUCCUCCCUCUACCGGCCCCGCCCUCCGAUGGCAACCUCGGUCCCAUUCCCCCCGCCCAGAUCUCCGACGAGAACGAGGAUGACAAGAAGCCCGAAGGCCAGCCGCCCGCUCCCGCCGCCGCCCCGGCGCCGGUGGCAACCCACACGAGAACCAUCGGUAUCAUCCACCCGCCGCCCGACAUCCGGAUGAUCAUCGAGAAGACGGCCACCUUCGUCGCCAAAAAUGGCCCUGAGUUCGAGAAGCGCAUCCUCGCCAACAACGCCGGCAACGCUAAGUUCAACUUCCUCAUUCCUUCCGACCCCUACCACGCCUACUACCAGCACCGUGUCUCCGAAUUCCGCUCCCAGCAGCAGCAGCAGCCUCCCGCCGCCGACUCCGACUCCUCCUCCCUGCAGCAGCAGCAGCCGCCCCCUUCCACGGAUUCCGCCCCCGCCGCACCUUCCGGCGAUUCCGCCGCCAAGCCCGACCUCGCCGCCCCGUUCCACAUCCCCACCCGGAAGGUCCUCGAGCCACCAGAGGCCGAGCAGUACACCGUCCGGCUCCCCGAGGGGAUCACCGGGGAGGAGCUCGACAUCAUCAAGCUCACCGCCCAGUUCGUCGCUCGGAACGGGAAGGUCUUCUUGAAUAAGCUCUCGGACCGGGAGGCCAACAACCCGCAGUUCCACUUCCUGCGGCCCACACACAGCAUGUUCACUUGCUUCACCGCGCUCACCGACGCCUGCUCGAAGGUGCUGAUGCCGCCCAAGGGGGUGACGGAGAAGCUGCGGAGCAGCGCCUGUGACAUGACGUCUGUGCUCGAGCGGUGCCUGCACCGCCUCGAGUGGGAGCGCUCGCAGGAGCAGGCGAGGCAGAAGGCCGAGGAUGAGAUCGAGCAGGAGAGGCAGCAGAUGGCGAUGAUCGAUUGGCAUGAUUUUGUUGUUGUGGAGACCAUCGAGUUUGCUGAUGACGAGGAUGAUGAGCUGCCGAUGCCGAUGACACUGGAGGAGGUCAUAAGAAGGAGCAAGAUGUCAGCUUUGGGUGAAGAGAAAGCCAUGGAAACAGUGGAACCAGGAAAGGAGGUGGAGAUGGAGAUGGACGAAGAGGAGGUCCAGCUUGUAGAAGAAGGUAUGAGGGCAGCAAGACUUGAAGAUGGUGGCAGGGAUGAGAAAAAGGGUGAAGCAGAGGCAGCGGCGGCACCUACUGAUGAACCAGAGCCUCCAAUGAGGAUAGUGAAGAACUGGAAGAGGCCCGAGGAGAGGAUCCCUGCUGAAAGAGACCCGACCAAGUUUACGAUCUCGCCGAUCACCGGUGAGCUAAUUCUGAUCAGUGAGAUGGCCGAACACAUGCGUAUUUCACUCAUAGACCCCAAGUAUAAGGAGCAGAAGGAGAGGAUGAUGGCAAAGAUCCGGGAGACGACUCUUGCUGCGGAUGAUGAGAUCGCUAGGAACAUUGUGGGGCUUGCCCGAACGCGUCCCGAUAUUUUUGGGACAACGGAGGAAGAAGUCUCUAAUGCAGUGAAGGCUGAAAUUGAGAAGAAGAAAGACGAGCAGCCAAAUCAGGUCAUUUGGGAUGGGCACUCUGGUAGCAUUGGGCGAACUGCAACUCAAGCUUUGUCUCAGAGUCUUUCUGGUGAGGAACAAAUUGAUGCUAACAGUGAUGACGGGAGGACCCUUCCAGGCCCUGCUCCACCUCCGAAGCCUGGUGUACCAUUAGUGCGGCCUUUCCCGCCCCCACCACCUGGAUUAGCUCUGAAUAUUCCUCGUUUUCCUCCAAAUGUGGCCCCUUACGCUGCUCUUGCUGCCAGUGGGGGAAUGGUGCCGCCACCACCGCGGCCAGGAAUUAUACCAAUAACUCCAUCUGUGAGGCCUGCAGCUCCACCAAUGCCUAUGACUUCGACCCAGCAGUCUGUUAUGAUGAGCAGGCCUUCAAUGCCCCAGGCGAUCUCAGUGUCACCUGCUAUUCCCAUGCCGCCACCACCUGGGUCGCAGUUCACUCCUUUGGUGGCUCCCCGACCAUUUGUUCCUAUGCCCAUGCUACAUCCUAACAUGCCAACUGUCCUGCCGCCUCCUCUCCCACAAGGAAUGCCACCUCCACCUCCUCCAGAGGAAGCUCCUCCACCGCUACCUGAUGAGCCAGAGCCAAAGAGGCUAAGGACUGAUGAUGUUUCUCUCAUACCAGAGGAUCAUUUCCUCACUCAGCAUCCUGUAAUGCCUACUAUGACUCUAUACAUUUGCUGUUGUUGCAUGUUUUUUUCCUUUCCCUUUAAGCAUUUGUUCUUGUAGUUAAUUCAAUGGAGAUGAUUACAGGAUAAACGACUUAUUCUACUUAUUACCUUGCAGGGACCUGCUCGUGUUUCUGUAUCUGUUCCUAAUGUUGAUGAAGGGAACUUGAAAGGCCAGCUUCUGGAGAUCACAGUACUGUCCUUGUCUGAGACUGUUGGCAGUCUUAAAGAGAAGAUUGCUGGAGAGAUUCAGCUUCCUGCUAAUAAGCAGAAAUUGAGCAGCAGGGCAGGUUUUCUAAAGGACAACCUUACACUUGCUUAUUACAACAUUGGUCCUGGAGAAACGUUAUCUCUUGCUCUAAGGGAGCGUGGUGGCAGAAAGAAAUGAUCUCUUCUUCUUUCUUGCUGCAACUUAGGAAGAAGUAGAGUUGUCAGUUAACAAAAUAAUAUUUGGCUUUAUGUGAUGAGGAUUUCUCAGACCUAUGUUCGGUAGGUGGAUUGGAACUUAUCUAUUACGAGUAACUGAUGAAAUUCAUGAUUUUUAAUGCAAAUAUGAAAUAUGGAUGUCAUCAUGCUCUGAUGUAUGGCGGAAUGUUAUAUAUUUCCCAAAGUGCAAGCUGAUCAUGACUUGAUAAUUUUCUGUCAGCAUACUCUUGUUGCCUUCCACUUUCAGUUUUUAUUUUAUUUUUGUUGUGCUAUUGCUGUGUAUGGAUUAUAAAUAUAAACAAUAUUAGGAGUCUAUUAAAUAUUUUUGAUGUCAAGGCCUUUAAUUUCUCAUGUAUUUUCUCAUCUGCUGUGGGUUCCACAUGUUCUAUUUUUGAUGAAUCAUGAAUGCAAAUUUUCAAAUGUUGGUUAAUUUAUUGCCUAUAUUGCUUAGUUUUUAAUGUAAAGGUCUUUUUUUAGCGAGCAUGCAAUAUUUUUUACCAUGUGUUCAGCAGUGUCCAUUUCAGGCCAAGACUCUAGCUAGAUGUCUUCUAUGCUCUCCAUUUUAGUUUUUUUUAAUUAUAUAUAUAUAUAUAUUUAUUUAUUUAUUUAUUUAUUGUCUUAUUUCAGCCAUCAUGUGAAUCUGUGUAUUAAGCCUAUGGGUACUGCAUAAUCCUUUGAUGUCUUACAUGUUGGUUGUCAGGCUCCAUGCUUCAUGCUCUGGAGACAUAACUCAUAAUCAAAAUAUGGUUCUGACAGAGUUCAAGAACAAUUUGCUACUAGUUCUGAACCUAAAGUUCUCCCUCUAUGAAGUAGUUCAAAGCAGCUUGCUGGAAGGGAGGGACCAAGGGGCCUGCCAUAAAUCUUAGCAGGUCAUUUCAAGGAAGGCAGACCGAUUGUGUAGAAAUUUAGUAGGUCAUUUCAAGGAAGCAGACUUAUUUGUAGAAAUUUUAAUCUCAUGCAAGCAGAACAACGACCUUUGAGACUCCAAGAAGAUUAGAUUGAUCAUUAGAGUGGAGAUAAAGAGGUGAGAAGAUACCAUUUGGUAUGUGAACUACAUUCAUCUCUGAGGCAAAUUAUGAGCCAAACUGAAACAUGAUUCGGUGUCUUCUACCUUGAAUACGACUAAAAAUUUUCUUUUUGAAUAUCAUAGUAACCUUCUCAAUUUACUCUUCUGAAAGAAUAGCUGAUCUUAGUGAUGCGCUUUCUUGUUCUUCCCUUCUUAGAGGCACCUUAUGGCGCAUGAUCGAAUCAUUAUUACUACACAGAAGUGCUAUACAUAGUUCUGAAGUAAGAAUAACAUGGCCAAUGCCUCUGUUUUAUGGGAUAGUUUUACUAGCAAUGAUGUAAGAAGUACUGCAUACAACAUCGUGUAAGUUGUGGGAAUAUUUAAGCUUCCUUAGGCAUGUGCAUUAUUUGUCUUGCAUCCCUUGACUUUAGCAUAUUAACAUUUAUCCAUCUGGGCUAUUAACACUCACCCACCUGAGCUAUCUUGCAACUUUUUUAUGGAGAUUAUGCUCAAGGCAUGGGAGCACCUGCUUUGAUGUCAUGCAGGGACGCGGCCAUCUGAACCUGCAGCACAGCAUGUACGGAAUCUAGUGAACAUUGUGAUGGCGGUAGAGCAUCUGGCUGCUGCUGCUUUGGCUUGAUCCAUGUCUCUUACCUUUGUUAUUUAGUAAAUCUGUCGUUAAGGGUCACUUUCAUGGUGCUGUGUCCCUCCAAGUGCACUGGUGCAGCCUGCCUUCUCAGGGCUCUUUCUUUAACCUCUUCCCUCGGCUGCCCUCACCCACUCCAUUGUCUGCAGAAACUGAGGAUGAUCUAUGGUUUUCUGUUACUAGCUUGUCUACAGGUUGGUCAGAGGCUACAAUGCUCCUCCUGCAUGCUGGAAGUUGUAAUCUGAAGUUUGUCUUUGUUGUGGUGUCUGUUCUGGGUAUUUUGGGGUGAUGACUAUCUUUUAGAUGGUCCUUGUUAGCUGUACUUACUCUCUACUAUAAUAUAUAAUCCUUACAUAGAAAAAGGUUAUAUAUAAAUUCAUCUUUUCAAAUUUAUGAAAUGAGGUAACUUUCUCUUGAAGAUUUUCUGUUUGUUUCCUCAGCUUGAAUUUGACAAGGGUUGUAGUUGAUAUUGGAGAUGGUACCAUAAUAUAUUAUUCCAGUUCUGGAUUGUCACAUGAUUGGGAGCAGUAUCAAAUCUUUCCUGAUUGCAUGCAGUGAUGUAACUUGGAUAUUUUGUGACUUUUACAGGUAUAAGAUUUUUCCUUUCACCUUUUUCAGAUUCAUAAGGUCACUAGGAUGCUGUUUUUUAUAGAUGCAAGUAAUUCCUGCUAUGCUUCUGAUGUUCUUUGAGUGAUAUUAUGAGUGGCCAUUAUAAUGGCUAAGCUCUAUAUACCAGAUUGCUAUUUCAGGAGGAAAUAUUUUUCUUUCCUGAAUGAAACAUCAUGAAAUAAUAAUAUUUCUGUAUUUUUUUUUCCAACUUUGAUCAUUAAACUUGUGCAACAAUGUAUUUCUGUCACCAAAAAAGUAUAUUUACUUGGUAUCAUUAUUUUAAUGAUUCAUCUUGUAGAACAACUCAUUUCCUCACACUUAUAUUUUAACCUCUAUAUCAUUUCAUCAUCAACUAUGUUUGGUGGCUGGAAGAUGAUGACGGUGUUGUUUAUUUUUGUACUUGAGUUAUGGUUUGUGGAAUUUGAGUCAUUCAUUUCCCUGUUCAUCAGUUGAUUGAAAAACAAUCUUAUAGUUGCUGUUAUUUUGAUUAUAGUCAAAACAUUUAUUUUUGAUUUAUGUUAUUUGUUAGAUGGCUGCUAUGGACCAAUUCAAUGGAAUAACUUAUGACUUAGCAGAAAAAUAGUUUUUUAAAGACAUUAAGUAUUUUUUUUUCAUGCAACAAGUUUGGUUUUACCAAACAUACAUAAUAGCCUUUAAGUAAUGGUCAUUGUAUGUAUGUAUGUUUGUCUGUCAAGAUCAUCAUAACAUGCUCUGUAGCAUAUGGAAGGGAAUACUCUUUUUUUCCCUGUUAUAUGUUGUGAGAGACUGUACGACUGGAUCAAGACAAUUAAGUGCUGAGAUGACCUUGGCCUCAACCAGCUAAAAUUGGCAUUGGUGUCACAUAGUUGUUGUCUGGUUGCACCUUAUUCUACAUCAAGGCUUCUCUCUAGGCCUUGCUGAAACUUGAUUGUGCUUGAGAUGUAACUUAAAAAGGUGACUCAGAAAUGACAUGCAAAGUUCUGAAUUAACAAAGCAUCCCAUGCAUCAUGUGGGUGCAAGGACCAAUAUCUGAUAGAGUCUACUAGCAUUUGAGGAUCAAAUUGGUGUAUAUGAUUGAUCCAUGCAGACAACUUGUUUCCAACAGUAAGGACAGUAUGUAAAUGGCUGCUGUGAAUCUUAAGACAUAGGUUAGACCCUCUCGCUUGGAACAAAGAAAUGCCUAAAUUUUGGAGCGCAUGCGAUAUCUUAUUACGGUCAUCAUUGUUGAUUGUAAAUGCAAGCAGCAUGUCUAUACUUCCAUGAGAUGAAAGAAUUUGACCAAGUAACACAUGAGAGAGAGAGAGAGAGAAGAUGAAGAAGAAGAGUCACAAACUUAAUGAGACUGGGAAGUUUAUAAUCAAUUGAUUUCUUAGUUUUUUGAAGGAGGUUAGGAACAACUGACAAAAAUUAAAGGAGCGUUAGAUGAAAGAAUCGGACCAAGUAACUUAGUUGGCUAUGUCACCAUAACGACAUGAAGACUAGUGAGGUAGUUAGAUCAUCAUUGAUAAUAAGUUGGAAACCAUUAAAGUGGAAUGUGAACAUAUUAUCAGAUUUAUUUUUGGCUCAUAUUUUCAGCUUUCUAAGUGUGUGAUGAGAAGUUGGAGUAUCCAAUUCCAAAAUUUUAAAAAUGGGGCCCAUGAUGCAAUUCAUGUUAGAGAAUUGAGUCAUUAUAACAAAAGUUAAAGACCAAGAGAAUUUGAACUUUUGAAUGGUAGAAUAAUUCCAAAAGGGAGGAUGAAAUCUAGUGAUAUGUGGUUUUUGGUGGUAACUACAACAAGCUAAACAAUAAAAAGGGCAAUAUAGAUCAUACUGGAUUUGUUUUGCCGAGUAUGUCAGCAUACUUGUGGACAAAAACAAAGUUAGAGAUUGAGAGGAGGCUAUGUUGAAAAAUUGUUGAAGAUAAUGUUAGAAGUGUUGGGUAAGUUGGAAAUAAAUGUGCCCACUUCUUGAAUUUUGAGAUUCUGCAUAAUUUGAUUAAUGAAAUAGAAGAUGCUUUAUCAAAGACAAAGGAGGUCAGGAUUUGAAUGAAAUUGAUACCCACAGAAGCACCUUAACAGUUGAACAAAGUUUGGGACCUUGAACCUUAGGAAAAUGCUAAAAUCUAAAUAAACACAUAGUGCUGGCUGUGAAGUUAUAUAGACAUCAAGAUCAUUCUUGAGUUAAAUUAUGAGUGAAGCGAUGGGAGUGGAUUAGGUGUCAGUUAGUCUGAAAAACAGUAUAACUACAUCUCAUUGGGUCAACAUCAAGAUGAUCUUCUUAAAUAGGUAUGACUGGAAAAUACUUUUGAUUAAAAGAAAACAAACUUUGCAUGUUUAAUAUUGAUUUGGAAAUGAUUUCAGCAAAUUUGAUGGAGGAACUUAUUUGGUGGGUGAUGAGAAAGAAAAGUUGGAUAGUUUAGAAAUGUUAGUAACAUGCAUGCAAAAGAAGAACUACAUUAGUGAGAACAGAAAGUUCCAAAUGACUACAGGCCUUCUCUAGGGUUAGCUUUAAGCCUCUGCAUAUUUAUGCUUGUUUUAGAUGUCUUAACAAGUAAUAUCUUAAAAAAUUAUUCCCAGUGAAUGCCAUUUGCAGUCGUUAGUUUGUUGCUUUUAAGACCAGGAAAGGGUUAAUAUUUAUUUGGAAGGUGGAAGAAGAAUCUUGAGAACACAGUUCAUAAAGUGAGUGCAAGUUAGCACCUAGAUUGCAACUAUAAUAGGAUUAUGGGAGUCCUUGAAGUUGUACUUGAAAUUGAGAUGCAAGGGGUACAAAGUCCCUAUUUUACCUUGCGUCUGUGCUUUAAGGAAUGAGAAAUUAGCAAGGAUGUUUCUAGCAAACAGCAUAAGGAUUUCUGAAUAUAUCAUGAAGGGUGGGAGUGGGACCAAAGAAGUCUAGGGCGGAGAUAGUAAAAGAUAAUCUCUGGGCACUUUGCAUUUUUAAAGACAGAUGUGAAUAGGAAUCUGAAGCUGAAUAGGAUGGUUCUAUAGGAAACUGAUGUGAUAAAUGUUUCUGUCAUGCUAUUUUUAAGUAUCCAUGCUAUUAAAAUUUUCUUGUAGAUGCAUUUUUAUGAUGCCUAUAAGUCUAUAUAUGAUUUCAAUUGGAUAUCACAUAGGAGUCAAAAAUUAGUUCCAAAAGUGGCCACACUAUAAAUUUUGUUGAUUAUAUUUGAAACCUUGGAAGAAUUUUUUUUUUUUCGAUUUCAUAACUUUUCCACGUACUUAUCUGUGUCAUUUGCAUCCAAUUCAUGAAUCCAUGUAGGAUAUAUGCUUGUCAGUUGGAUAAACUUUAGAAUAAUAUGGUUUGUAGGUUUUAGAGACUGAUGAAGGGUUGACCUUUCUAAUAAUGCGUUUAACCUGCCAUAAUGAGAUCAUGGUUUCUUUUCUAAUUUUCAGUCUUGGCUGAAUAUGUAAGCGCUAUAAUGAUUGCUUGAAAUUUCAUGCUUUUUAUACCCAUGAGCUUCUUUUGGAUUUUGGAUGAUGAACAUGUAUACUGAAACUUGUUCACAAUAUAUUGUAUAAAAAUAUAUAUAUUUUCUUGUGUCUACAUGCAUCCUUUUUCGAUCCUUUUACCGACUUAGAAGCUUGGAUACAUCUCUCAAUCUGGUCCUGACAGUGUAUGUCCAUGCAACAUUUGUAAUGACCUUUAUGACUAAUUGAUUUAAAUUCAUCAGAUUUUUAUGACUUGAUAUUUGAAAAAGGAGCUCAUAAUGGCUUUCUUUUGAAUUCAAUGCUUCAAUUGUCUUCAUUUACUUCUUGUUCUAAUAGUGAAAUGUUUCUCUGUGACACAGUCGAACUGGCUCCUGGAGCUGAUUCUGAAGCACUUGAUGUUGUUAGAGAGUGUUUGCAAGAAGUGUUUAAGGUCAAAUCAUCCACCACUGCUGAUGGGAUACGGCCUGGUUUAUUGUGAGACCUAUUCGCUUCACAGGAAGCUGGUGAACAGCGUAGUCUGAGACCAGAUUUGGACUCUGUUGCAAAAUCCUGUGCCACCUCAUCUUCCCAAAAAAUUGAAGAUUUCAAAACUUUAAAGGAAUCAACUGUAAGUUUUCAUCUCCUUCACCAAGUCUCGCAUAUCUUUGAUAAAUAUAUGCUAAAAUAUAUCUUUUUAUCAGUUAAUUAUAAGUUUUUUUUACCUAUUUUAUGUUCUGCUACUUUUGUUGCUAACUUGUUUCCUCUUUACUGUUUGAUAUUAAUUUAAGUUUAAUGUGUCUCUUACCUUAUCUACUGAAUUUAUUUUGAAAGUGAAACACAUCCAUUGAUUAUGUUUUAUAAUAAGUUAUAUAUUUUCCUCUAUCUUUCUUUGACUAUUGGUAUUUGGUAUAGUAUAACGAGAUGUAAAGAGGAAUGGUGAAGAGAAAAACUUGCCUUUUGCACAAGGUGAUGAAAGGUAACUGAGCUUACCAAGAAAGGGAUUACAAAAAUAAUUUUUAUUAAAAAGGAUAAAGAAAAUAGAUGGAACUAUACAAAAUUCUAUCUAGGAACCAUGAGACAUCUGCAUUUUGAGCUCUCUUUUGUAGAAAGAAAUUAUUCAGAUUUAAAAACCUAUUAUUUUUCAGUUACAAGCUUGACAUUUAAAAAUUCUCAUCCUGGUCUUUCUGCUAAACUGCAAAUAAGAAGAUAUUACGUGUUUUUUGAAUAUUGUUUUUGAAUUAGGGAUGUUUUGAGUUAUCAAUAUGCCCAAUUGGCCAAAGACCAUAUAGGGUGAUUCUAUAUAAGGUCAUUUAUAUUUUAUAUUUAUAAAAAGAAGAAAAAAGGGCGAAAGCACUAGGUACGGAACCGUUAUUAUGCGUGGUCAAUGUUGUAACUUCUGCACCUCCCUCUAACAUCCUUAAGCAAUGAAUACUGCUAUAAUCGAAAAUAUUUUUUAAUCCAAUAUGGUUCACCGAACCAUUCCAAAUCGGGUGGUUCAGAGGGUUCCAAGUCGUAUCGGCUGCAAAUCGGGAUGGUUCAGCCUUCCUAAUCAGAACACUGGAUGAGAGAGAGGGAAGGAGAGGAAGAGAGAGAGGAGGGUAGGAAAAGAGAGGACGAUGCCGUUGGAGGGUUGGUGGUGGCUUGUCGAGACUGUCGGAGGGCCGUGGAGGCAUCCAUGCCUCUGUGUCAUCCGAUAGGAUAUUUAAUUGAGAGAGAUAGAGAGAGAGGGAGUAAGGAUACCGUAGGGAGGCGCAAUUGGUGGAGAGGCAACUGGAGGGUGCUGGAUGGCCGUCGUGGCCAACCGACAGUGGAAAAGGUGCGACAGAGCCAUGGUCGCGGAACAAGGGCCACCAUUCCUGUUCAUCACAUUUUUUGUUAAACGAUGAUGAAUAGUGAAGCCGACAAACUGACUGCUUUUUUUACUGUGAUCAGGAUUUUUUAAAAAAAUUUCAUGAAACAGGGACGAUUGUUUUUAUUUCAUGCCCGCAGAGCCACAAGCCACAAUUUCGCCAUCUGGUAGCCAAUCGGAGGCCUUCUGGCAACCUCUCUGUCGGUUUCCCCUUCCUCAUUUUCUUUCCCUCCCCCCCUCUCUACCUCUUUCUCUUGGCCACAAUUUGGUGGAGCAAGCGCCUUGGUGGUCCUUUGAGUGUGCCCGUGGCAUGCUUGUGGCCGCUGCCAGUGUCUCCUCCAGCCACCCUCCCCUCCCUUCCCCCUUCUCCCUCCCCCUCUCCUCUCUCUCUUUUUCUCCUCUCCGGUUCCUUUAUUCACUUCUGUGUCGGUUCGGUUCGCAUUGGUCCCGUCUGGUACAGACUUAUACCGACUCAUAUCGCUGGCCAGCCGACACGGAUCCCAAUAUCGGUUCCCCGAUCUUGCUUUUUAGGUUGUGGAUGCAUAUUUUGUUUUUAGUUUUCAGACUCAUGUAUAAGGUGGCCUUGGUGUACUUAGGUUGUUCCAUUGUGCCAUAGGUGUCAUGAGUUCGAAACACAAAAAUAACCUUAUCAUAUAUGGUGGUAAGCAAGAUUCGCAGACUCAGAACCGAAUCCCAUGCCGGCCAACCAGCGGUAUGAGUUGGUACGCCCCCAUAUCAGAUCCUACCAAGUUCGAACCAUCACAAAAAUGAGGGAGAAUCAGGGAGGAAAAGAGGGAGGGGGGAUGGAGGGAGGGAGAGGCAGGGAAUGAAAGAGAGGCUAGCGGAGAUGCUGGCGGUGUCCAUCGGAGGGCUGUCGAGGUCUCCAGGGCUCUGCGGUCCUCUAGGAGAGAGAUAGAGAGAUGGAGAGGGAGAGAGAUGGAGGGAGGGGGAGGUCUCCGUAAAUGCCAUGUCAUUCCUAUUUCGAACCUACGACGUUUGCGGGUGGACUUCCACUGUCCGCCAGCCACAGUGGCCUCCCUGUUGCCUUCCCCUCCAUUUCUCUUCCUCCCCCUCUCUAUCUCAUUCUCUAAUCUCUCUCGCGGAGGACAACGGAGCCCCAAAGGCCUCGGCGGGCCAUUGUCGGUCUUUUCAUUGUUAGAAAAUGUGUCCUAAAGUCAAUCGUUUGAAGAAUUGCGCUCUUUGUAAUUGUAUAUGAAUUAUGAAAUAAUAAAAGAUAUUUGGCAUUUUUCAUCACAAGGUGUACAUCUUUAUUAGAACUCGUGUUGUGACGAAGUCCUUAGAAUUAUAUGACAAUCGAUAAAAAAGAAUUUAUCGAAUAAUUCUUAAACAUAUUCGCGAUCAAAUGAUACGUCAUUAAAGGAUGAUGAUGUUAAUCGAGUGUAGAUCAUUGUGUGCCAUGUAGAUUGGUUGUUCUCUUAACCAAGAAGUGUGGAGAUACUGAUAUGGCAUACAGGUGAGAUGAAGUACAUCAUCACUGAACAAGUGACUCAUCUACGGAGCACUCUGCUGUCAAGAGCAGCUCGCGAAGCAUAUGGGCAUAAGUGUCCCUUAGACCUGUGUCCCUUAGCUUUCUAGAUGGUAACUUCGAUUAGUAUAAAAAAUGAUUUCUGUACUAUCGGCUUAGUGUUCGAAUCUAUGGAGUCACGGACAAAAUCAGACGACGUAGGAAAGAAUUGACCUGUCUAUAAGAUCAAUUUGGAAGUACGUGACUUGAUUGAACGAAUAGAUUAGCUUAAUCGAGAAUUAAGUUAAAGAUCAUACGGGAUUAAACAAGUUGACUAUGUCUAGCUAGUACUGGAUAUUGGGUUCAGGUUUAAUUCCGGGAAUGAUGAUGAUCUGAUCAAUGAUCCAAAGAAUUUAUGAGAGAUUGAAUUUAUGUCCUAAUUAAUUUCUGAUUUGAUCUGAUUUAGUUAAGGCUUAAUUGGGUUAAAAAUCCAAGUUAGAUUUGGAUCAGAAUCCUAAUUAGAUUAGGAUUGAUAGGUUCUUCAAAUCUGGUUCGAAUCGGAUCCAAAACAAGUCAAAUCUGAGCCCAUUUGGUUUAGAACCAAAGAGUCCCAAAUAUCUGGGACUCUCUCUUGUAAAGUGGUCGACCAAAAGGGAGAGGAGCAUUGAUUUUUUCAGCCCCAUAUGGGGGCGUGUGUGAAGGGUGUUCAGUGAAGAGUUUUGGGCACUAUCCUUUCUCAUGUAGGAUUCCUACUUGGAUAUGGUUAGGACCUAUUCAAAAUUGGUUUGAGUUCAAGUCCUAAAUCAAAUAGAUUUUGAUCAGAUGUAAGACGCCUCACCUAUUUAAAGGGAAGAACCCAACUAAUUGGUGAUUAAGAAAAAUGUGCGACAAAAUAAUUCCCACAUCACCGUGAGAUAGAAGGGUGUGUGCGACAACAGAAGAGAGGGCGUCUCUUCUUUCUUGGCGUGGGGAAUUCAAGGCGUCAUCUUUAUUGGCGUGUGGACUCCCAUCCAAGAUCUCAUCCACUCGUGAGAUAUGAUCUCCUCCUCUUGAUCCCUUCUGAAGGAUUGGCGCAAGGAAGAUCAUCCCGCUUUCCUGCAAAGCUUGGCGUGCGUGUGAAGUAGAGAGUCUGUACGUUCAGGCCUUGUGAGGUAUUGGAUUUGAGAAUCCUCUGAAAAUUUUGAUCUCUAUUCCGCUGCAUAUCAGAUAACAUAAAAUUUAUGUUAGCUUAUUAUAGAAAAAUUUUUCAGAUGCACCCUAGCGAUUUGAUCAGAUCGGACGAAUUUUUUCUUCAAUUGGUAUCAGAGCCAAGUUUGAUACAUGCAAUGCAUAGUUAACUUUUCUGGUAUAAUUAUAUAAGAUAUAUGAUCAGAUUUUUAUGGUAGAUAAUAAAUCUGAUUUAGACCUGUUAAUAUAAAAUUUAUAAUUUGGUUUUGAUCAAGAUUUCAGGAACUAAAUCAAUAGUUGAUUGAAGUUUGUUAUAAAUCUGUUAUAAUAGAAUUUUCUUGAUGCAGAUUUUUGCUGAAAUAACACCCGAAUUAAAAUCUGUUUUAAAUCUAUUUUAACAGAAUUUUUAUGAUGUUGUUUCGGAUUGGAUGUUAGACAUAAUCAAAAUCUGAAUUAAAUCUGUUUUGACAGAUUUUCAGAUUUGAUUUUAAGCAAAAUUUCGCACAAUGUAAAAUCAGGUCUAACCAGAAAUUUUAUUUUUAUGUGUUCAUAUGUGUGUUUGAAUUAUUUUUCUAUAAGAUUCCAUAUCUUAAGUAAAUAUUUUAUAUGCUGUAUAAAAGUGGUUCAGAUUAAAAAUUUAUAUGAAAUUUAUCUGAAAUUAAUCUGAUGCAUGGAUCUAAUUAGAUUAGAUAUAUAAUAUGAAUAAUAUGAUCAUAUUCAUAUGAAUGCAUGCCUGUUUUGAUUAUUGCAUAUGUAAAUAUAAUUAAUUUUUGAAAUUAGAUUUCAGAUUUUAGUAGCUCAAUACUCAAGACCGUCCGGUCAAAAGAGAAAGCAGGGAUUGAGUCCUUCUCUUGUCUUUUCGACGGAUUCUCUUAUGACGUGUAGGGAUGCUAUUGUGAUCAAGUCUCAUGAAGAAGAACAGCGCAAAAAAAUUUUAAAAUUAUUUUAAUCAUAAAUAUAUUUAGAUUAGAUCUAAAAUAAUUUAUGAUUAAUUAUAAUUUUAAUAAAAUAAAUUUAGAUAUGAAAAUUAUUUUAAGAUCUGAAUUAUUGGUUGUGUAUGAUGUAAUCGGUAGUGAUCUAAAAGUGAUCAUGAUACAUGUGAUGUAUGUAUGAUAUUUAGAUCAGAUUUAUGCAUGUUUAAUUGUUAAAUAUAAAUCUGAAAAUUAGAUUUUAAGAUUUGAAAAUUGCAUGAUAUAUGAUGUAUGUUUCACUUGAAAUCUUAAUAGAAUAGUUCUACAAACUCAAACACACAUUUCACACACUUAAUUUGGAAUUAAGUGAUUUAGAUUUGAGAAUUGAAGACGUUAAAAUACCUCAUAAAUCGAUGGACAAUGGAUUAGCACGAAUCAGAUCUUCUAACUGGGUUAGACCUAGGGUUAGAAAUAAAUAUGGACCAAUAUUAGAGAAAUUGAUUAAAUCUAAUCAAGAGUUGAGUUAGAUUAUGUCAGAAUUUCUCUAAGAUCAACCAUAAUAGUUGUAACUUGAUUAAGUCCAUAUUUUUGACCAUACCAAAUGGUUCUGAUUGUGGCUCAAUGAUUUAGUCCAAGUCUUUUGGUUGAUCGAAUUGAAACUAAUCGAUUAAUUGGUGUUUAAGGUAAGUUUGGCAAUAUUGCUUGUCAAUAUAAUCGGUGGUUUUUAAUUGGCAGUCCGCUUAUCUGACCAUUUCGAUGGUGUCUAAGGCAACUUGAGGCAGACCUUCCCAUCGAUCUCACUUAUCUAUUCAAUUUGAUAGAUUAUAUUUUGAUUAGAUCACUGAUCGAUUCGAGAUGACCCAUGCUAUUAAGGUAAAUCAGUGUGACUGAUUUAGGUGUUUCUAGAUCAGACUUGUCUUUAGUUCUCUUCAUGACUUGGUGAAGUCAGUGGGAGGAUUUAUGACUUAUCGGUUAAUUUCUUCUCUUAUUCUCAAAUCAUUAAAUCAGUUUGACAGAGUUAGGUGCUUAAGACCAACUUGUCUAUGGUUCUCUUCAUGACUUGAUAAAGUCAGUGAGAGGAUUUAAGACUUGCCGGUCAAUUGCUUAUCAAAUCAUUAAAAUUAAAUUUUCUAAAUUAUUAGGUCCUUAAAAUGACAAUGUUAUGGAGAUAACAAAGUCAUAGCCUCCCAUUAAGGUGGAUGGUAAUGGGUCCAAUAAUCUAGGUAAACAUUAGAGGCAUUUUCCGUCUAGUGUUUAUUUGGAUAUUGGAAUUAUCAUUCAUUAUAUGAUGACUCAGCUGUACUAUCUGAUGAAUGGUUAGAUUGGUCGAGCUUUAUUCGGACCUGAUCAUUCAUUAGUUAGAUUCACUGAGUAUGUUCAUGUUAAUGGUUGGACCUAAUCGGAAUUUUCAGUGGAGGCCACGACCUACUGAAAAGGAAUAUGAGGCAAAAUCAUUACUAAAAAUUGUUUGGAGAAACAAUUGAUUAAGAAUCUAUCCAUAAAUGCACAUGUAUAAGCCAGAGCUCUACUCGGGUCCAUAUGUAGUCUGUGUGGAUUCUAGUAUCCGUUAAGGGAUUAAAGUAAUUCUUCGAAUUAGAGGUAGAAGCUACCAAUUCGUAUAAAAUAGUGGAAGGAUUUUUAGACUAAAGUCUAAGUCUUUAGGAUUAAAUACUUAAUAUACUAAUAGGUCUUUGUUUUUCUUUCAGAAUGGCUAGUAAGUUGUCACUUCGCUCACUGUUGGACAGUGACAAGUUUAUAGGACCAAAUUUUGAUAAUUGGUAUCAAAAGCUGAGACUAGUUUUCGAGCACGAGAGAAUCUUAUAUAUGAUUAUGGAUCCUAUACCUGAAGUACCAGUUUCCAAUGCAGAUGUAACGAUUAGAGACACUUAUCAGAAGUGGCUCAAUGACUGUAUGACAGUACGUUGCAUAAUGAGAGCUACUGUGAGUGACAAAUUUAGUUGUAAAUUCGAUGAUGCUCAGCCAAAGGAGAUACUUCAAAUGUUGAACAAGUUCUUUGGUGCUGAAAAAUUGUGCUGGUCCUAAGCAAUUUAAGGCAGACCAGAGUUAGACAAAAAUAAACAGGCCUAGGAAGAGAAAUCAAUAAAGGGUUGCUGGAGAAGGUACUUUUAUCAUAACAUCUUGUAAUUUCUUUGUCUGUGAUACUAUUAUCUGGAUAUUGGAUAUCGAAAGUCUGAUUCAUAUCUGCAAUUUGUUGUAGAGACUUCAGAUUAGUAGAAAAUUUUAGAAGAGCGAACGAUUCCUGAAUGUUGGAGAUGGAAGAGCUGUUUCAGUUCUAGCAUUAGAAAAAGUUUAGCUUACUCUCAAUUUAAAUAUCAUUGUUUUAGAUGAUUGUCAUGAUUGUCCAUCAUUCUUUAUGAAUGUCAUCUUCGUAGGUCUUUGGGCCAAAGAGAAUUAUAGCUUCUUAAUAAAAGAAGAUUUCUAUGAUAUCAUUAUGAAUGGUGUCACAGUAAUGCGUAGAUAAUUGAAACAUGGUAUUUACAUUUUAUCAGUCUGUUAGUGUAAUGUACACAUCGAACAAACGCUCUAGAAUAGAUCAUGUCACAGAUACCUAUCUUUGGCAUUGUAGAUUCGGUCAUAUAAAUAAGAAUAGGAUAAACAUGUUAGCUAAAGAGAAAAUCUUCGAUAUCAAUGAUUGUGAAUCAUUACCGACCUGUGAGUCCUAUCUACUUGAAAAGAUGAUCAAGUCAUCUUUUACUGAAAAGGAUGGGCGAGCCAGUGAUGCUCUAGGUCUAGUACAUAAUGAUGUAUGUAGACUUAUGAAAAUAGCCGUCAGAGAAGGAUAUUACUAUUUUAUUACAUUUACUGACGAUCUAUCGAGAUAUGGGUACGCCUACCAAUGAAGUAUAAAUCUGAAUCAUUUGAAAUGUUCAAACAAUUCCGUAAUGAGGUGGAAAAAUAAACUGGGAAGAGUAUUAAAAUUCUUUGAUCAGAUCGAGGAGGUGAAUAUCUUUUCAAUGAGUUUUUGAUAUAUCUAGGAGAAAAUGAAAUUCUCUCACAAUAGAUUCCUCUUGGGACACAGCAUAAUGAGAUGUCACAAAGGAGAAAUCGAACUCUGUUAGACAUAGUUCGGUUUAUGAUGGGGUUGCGAGUCUCUCGAUCUCUUUUGGGGUCAUGCUCUUGAGAUUGUAUACGAUGUUCUGAAUGUUUCGAACAAAUCAAUCACAAAAGCACCAUAUGAGAUUUGGACUGGACGUAGGCUGACAUUUCUCACCUUAGGGUUUGGGGUUGUCCAGCUUGUGUCAAAUGUUUGCCGACCGAUAAGCUUGGGCCUUGGUCCAAUAACUGCUUGUUUGUAGGGUAUACCAAGAAAUCUAGGAUAUACUACUAUCUUGCUGAAGAACGAAAGAUAUUUGUUAGCAAUAAAGCAGUUUUUUUGGAAAAGAAGUUCCUUAGUGAAGGAAUUAAUGUCUCUAAGGUUGAAGUUCGACAGGUAAAAGAAUCGACAUAGAUCAGUGAAAAUAUAGAAUCGAAUUUGAUUAGGUCAAAUUCAGAGUCCAUUGUUGAGGCACCUUUAAGAAGAUCCGAUAGAGUAUCGCGUCAGUCGGAUAGAUACUAUGAUUUCUUGAUCUGGGACGAUGAUUCUAUUGAACUUGAUGACAAUAAUGAGGAUUCGAUCACCUACAUGGAUGUCAUGUAAAAGUCUGACUCUGAGAAAUGGCUUGAGGUCAUGAAAUUCAAGAUGGAGUCCAUGGAGAUCAAUAAUAUAUGGAUACUUGUUGAUCUACCCGAAGGGAUUAAAUCUAUAGGGUGUAAAUGGAUAUUCAAAAGGAAAAAGGGCGCAGAUGGGAAGGUGGAGAUCUAUAAAGUCCGUUUGAUUGUCAAAGAAUAUCGUCAACGUUAUGGUAUUGACUAUGAUAAGAUAUUUUCUCCUGUGGCAAUGCUCAAGUCCAUCCGAAUUAUGUUUGUGAUAGUAGUACACUUUGAUUAUGAGAUCUGACAAAUGGAUGUUAAAACCGCUUUCCUUAAUAGGGAGCUGGAAGAAGAGGUGUAUAUGAUACAACAUGAAGGGUUCACAUCCACAGAUGAAUCAAAGGUGUGCAAGCUUCAAAGAUUUAUUUAUAGAUUGAAACAGGCAUCUCGAAGUUGGAACAUGCGUUUUGAUAAAGUGAUCAAAACGUAUGGCUUCGUUAGGAAUGGAGAAGAACUAUGCAUUUAUAAAUGGGCUAAUAGUUCUGUAGUCAUCUUAAUAAAAAAUGACGUUUCUACUUUACAAAGAGUAAAGUUUUGGCUGUCUUCACAAUUUUUCAUGAAGAAUUUGGGAGAAGCAUCCUACAUUUUAGAGAUGAAGAUUUAUAGGGAUAGAUCUAAAAGGUUACUUGGAUUGUCCCAAUCUACGUACAUAGAUACCGUGUUGAAAUGGUUCAGCAUGGAGAAUUUCAAGAAAAGAUAUCUUUCGAUAGGUCAUGGAAUUAUUUUUUCUAAGAAUGAUUGUCCGAUAACUCCACAAGAGAGAGAGCAUAUAAGUAGAAUUUUCAUAUGCUUCGGCAGUGGGAUCUGUCAUGUACACCAUGAUAUAUACGAGGUAGGAUGUGGCAUACUCAUUAGGGAUAGUGAGUAGGUACUAGUUUGAUCCAGAUGAGAAUCAUUGGAAGGUUGUAAAGAUAAUCCUUAAGUAUUUGAGAAAUACCAAGGAUCAAUGGUUUUAUCUAUGGAGACAUUGACUUGAAACUUGUGGGAUAUAUUGAUUCCAGCUUUCAGUUAGAUCAUGAUGAUAGUAAGAGCGUGUCGGGUUAUGUGUUUAUCCUGAAUGAAGGAGCGAUCUGCUGGAAAAGUUCCAAACAGCACACUGUAGCUGACUCAACUUGCGAGGUCGAAUAUAUCGCGGCAUCUGAUGCUACGAAAGAAGUUGUCAGAUUGUGGAAGUUCAUCAGCAAGCUUGGAGUAGCACCCUCCCUUGAUAGUCCUGUUCUGCUAUACUACGACAGCACUGGAGCCAUAGCUCAAGCGAAAGAAUCGAGGUUCCAUCAGCACAUCAAGCAUAUUCUGUGCUGCUAUCAUCUGAUCUGAGAGAUCAUGGAUCGAGGUAACGUCGAGUUUCAGAAGAUCGACGGAAAGGAGAACUUGGCUGGCCCAUUUACUAAAAUUUUUGAAAUCAAAGAGUUCGACGAACUCAAAUAGAAGAUGGGUAUUAGAUACUGUACCAAUUGAUUUAAGUCCAAGUGGGAGUUGUUAGGAAAUAUGUUCUAAAGCCAAUCGUUUGGACGAUUGUGUUCUUUGUAAUUGUAUAUGAAUUAUGAAAUAAUAAAAGUUAUUUGACAUUUUUCAUCACAAGGUGUACAUCUUUCUUAUUAAAAUUUUUGUAUUGUGAUGAAGUCCUUAGAACUAUAUGACAAACGAUAAAGGAGGAUUUAUCGAAUAGUUCUUAAACAUAUUCACGAUCAAAUGAUACGUCGUUAAAGGACGAUGACAUUAAUCGAGUGUCGGUCGUUGUGUGCCAUAUAGGUUGGUUGUCUUCUUAAUCAAGGAGUGUGGAGAUAGUGGUAUGGCAUACAGGUAAGAUAUAGGAGUACAUCGUCAUUGAACAAGUGACUCAUCUGCAGAGCGCUCUACUGUCAAGAGCAGCUCGCGAAGCGUAUGGGCAUAAGUGUCCCUUAGAUCUGAGAUCACCAUAGUGACUUGCAAGCAACUCAUUGUGCUUUAGUACCAGACUACCUGCAUUUCUAAUGUAGUUACGGAAGGCUAUUGGGUACAGUCAAGUACUUACAAAGUCUGUAUGUGGAUCAAGAUGGGAUUGAUCCUUCCGGAUUACAGGAGUUAAUGCAUCACUGUAUCUCAAUUUAGUAAACUUUGGGCCCGGAUAAUUCAUGUGAUGGAUGUGAAAGGUUGAAAUAUAAUAUGGAUGACUCAUCCAGGGUUGACAGUUAAAUCCUAGGUCAUCUUUGAGCAUUCAGAGUUAAAGGGAUGAAUUAUGCGGUAACCAUAUGCAUAGGUUCUUGAAUAUUGCCUUGCAAAUAUUCGAACUAUCCGGAUGUUGGGAAUCAUUGCUAGAUGGUAACUUCGAUUAGUACAGAAAAUGGUUUCUAUGCUACCUUCUUAGUGUUCGAACUUAUGGAGUCACGCACAAAGUCAAGCGACGUAGAAAAGAAUUGACCUAAGUCUAUGAGUUUAAUUUGGAAGUACCUGAUUUGAUUGAACAAAUAGAUUAGCUUAAUUGAGAAUUAAGUUAAGGAUCAUACAGGAUUAAACAAGUUGACUAUGUCUAGCUAGUACUGGAUAUGAGGUUUAGGUUUAAUUUCGGAGAUGAUGAUGAUCUGAUCAAUGAUCCAAGAGAUUUUUAAGAGAUUGAAUUUAUGUCCUAAUUAAUGUCAGAUUUGAUCUGAUUUAAUUAAGGAUUGCUAGGCUUUUCGAAUCUGGUUCGAAUUGGAUUCAAAACGAGUCAAAUCUGAGCGCAUUUGGUUUAGAAUCAAAAAGUCCCAAAUACCUAGGACUCUUUCUCAUAAAAUGGUCGACCAUAAGGGAGAGGAGCGCUGAUUUUUCCGCUCCAUAUGGGGGCGUGUGUGGAGGGUGUUUCGUGAAGAGUUUUGGGUGCUAUCCUUUCUCACGUAGGAUUCCUACUUGGAUAUGGUUAGGACCAAUUCGAAGUUGGUUUGAGUUCAAGUCCUAAAUCAAAUAGAUUUUGAUCAGAUGUAAGAUGCCUCACCUAUUUAAAGGGAAGAACCUAACUAACAGGUGAUUAAGAAAAAAUUGUGCGACAAAAUAAUUUCCACAUCACCGUGAGAUAGAAGGGUGUGUGCGACAACAGAAGAGAGGGCAUCUCUUCUUUCUUGGCAUGGGGAAUUCAAGGCGUCAUCUUUAUUGGCGUGUGGACUCCCAUCCAAGAUCUCAUCCACCAGUGAGAUUAGAUCUCCUCCUUCCCUUGAUCCCUUCUGAAGGAUUGGUGCAAGGAAGAUCAUCCCGCUUUCUUGCGAAGCUUGGCAUGCGUGCGAAGUAGAGGGUCCGUACGUUCAGGCCUCGCAGGGUAUUGGAUUUGAAAAUCCCUUGGAGAUUUUGAUUUCUAUUCCCCUGCAUAUCAGGUAACAUAAAAUUUAUGUUAGCUUAUUAUAGAAAAAUUUUUCAAAUGCACCCGGACGAUCCGAUCAGAUUGGACGAAUUUUCCCUUCAUCCAUCUCCUUCUCUCCCUUCCUCUCUCUCUCCCUCUCUUCCUCUCUUUUCUUCUCUCUUGCUUCGUUUUUGUUGGCAUUUUGAAUCGAAUGCUUGAAUCGCAUCGGUUGGCCAUCGGUAUGGUUUGGCACACUCCGAACCGUCUGGUUCGGGGUGGUUCGGCAUUUCAUGGUGGUAAGGCUGCAUACGUAUGACCCUUCAAAGACCUUGCAAUGGUGGGAGCCUCAUGCACUGGGAUGCCCAUUUUAGACUCACUUUUCCACUUGUUUGGGAUACAAAUUAAGUCAGAUUUUUAACCACAUUGUUUUAGGAAGCACUCAAUAACAUAGAAACCAUUAUAAUGGUAUUGGAGGCCUCCGCUGGUUUAGGAGCUUUAGAUGGAAAUUUGUCUUAGGUGUUCAUCAUGUAAGUCAGGUAUAAGGGGGUAAACAGUCUAAAAAAUAUACUUUUUUGAUUGCAUGGUUGUGAUUAUGUUGGAUGGGUCAAUUGUGGUCCACAUCACCAUAGCUAGGAGGAAGGGAUGGAGAGAAAGAUGCUCAAAAACAUGAAGGUUAAGAUCACAUAUUACCAUUUGCCUUUAGAGGUCCAUAUUACUGUCAUGUGCCUCUAGAGGUCCAUGUUACCAUAGCUAGGAGGAAGGUGUAGAGAUAAAGAGAUGCUCGAAAGUAUCAAGGUGAAUGUCACAAUAGUAAGCUUGGUGUUUUAUGUUCUUAUAUGAGUUUGAAUCUUGAUGCUCAACUAGAAGUAUUAAUACAUUGAUUUUCACUAUAUAAAUGACUACUUAUCUAUAGAUGGUGAGCUUUGGCGCAACGGUAAGGUUGUUUAAUUAUGACCUGGGUGUCAUGGGUUUAAAAUACGGAAAUAGCCUUUCUGCACUCAAGGGUAAGUUUGUGUACUUCUAACCCUUCUCAGACCUUGUAGUGGUGGAGCCUCGGUCACCUUUUACUAAAUGAUUAUUUAUCUGUCCUUUUCUUUAUUUCUUUUCCUAUAAUUUUGCAUUUCAUAUUGAUAAUUUCAUACCUUAAGAAUGAGAUUUCAUUCUAAGGUGAGUCACAAGUUGAAAGACUUGGGAUAUCUCCAAAACCUGCACUUUUAUAUUGACAUUAACCUUGUGUUACUUGUAUAUCCCUAAGGAGUUCAUUGAAAUAGUUGUUAUGUUAUUACCUAUAUAUCAUGGGUAUUUAAUUAAUCGAUGUAAUUUAGUUGUUAUCUGGACAUAAUUACUGUCAGUAACACAAAUAUAAUUUCAAAUUUUUAUAUCAACACAAAAUAGUUUUUUAUUUUGUGAAUAGUGUAAUGCUGCUGUUUUUUUUUAUGGCUAUUAUUAAUGAUAGCCAUUAUAACAGCAGUUAAUCUGGUCCAACAUAAACCUAUUCCAAGGCUAGACUCUGCAAAUAACAGCCAUUAUAUUGGUUGUAACUGUAAAUAAUGGUUUUGUGACAUGGGGAUCAUGCCUAGUUGUGAAGUAUUCUUGUGACCUCACUUUUUUGAUUUUUUUAAUACUAGCCUUAUAAAUAUGCUGCAGCAUUACCUAAUGUACAUGAAUGUCUGAAACAUGAAGUUUAAAAAUUUGGGAUGCCGUCCAUAUAUGUUAUUGACAUUCAACUGUGGAGAAUAAAUGCAGUCUGUUACUCAAGUUGAAAUGAAUCAUGACUUUGCUAAUAGACUACAUUAAAAUUUAUAUAACCUUUCCAGCUUCCAGCUUCCAGUUUCCAGUUUCUAUUUUCUUGCAUUUUAUGAGGAACAUAUAAAUUUUAGAAUAUGCACACUUUUUGAGGGUUCUGCUUGUUCAUUGCUGAUAUUCUUCCAUUUGUAUGAAUUUUAGAUUCUGAGUUCCAUAAUGAACAUUCUCCUCUACUUAAUGCUAUUAACUUAGUAACUUCAUUUUCUUAUAUCUCUACUUUCUUAACCAGGGAGAAGAUUCCACUAGCGAUUCCGAUGACUUAGGUAUGUAUCUGAGUCUGAUCACUUUAGUAGUUUUAGAGAUAUUAGCAGGCUGCUGUUCCUAAUAGUCGUUAGGCUUACUGUCUUUCUUUUAUUGAUUUUGUUGAUUGUGUCAAGUAUCAUACUGCAUACAAGAUAAGAAAUAUGCUUGCCGCAUACAAGCAAACUCAUAAUUAUAUGAGAGCUAUGGAGCAUGGACAUGGAUAAUCAAUUAGUGGAUAUAGCAUGUAUAUCACAAGAUACAAAUUUGCCAAUAUGAAAAAAAGGACAUUAUAUGGAUGUGAUAUGGAAAUUAAAUAAAUAAGUAUAUAUUUUUUAUGUAAUAUAAAGAAACAUCCCUAAGUAAAUUAUGACAACACAUAGCCCAUAGUCUAAAUGGUAACAUCAACAUCAGACAGCUCUGCUAUUUAAUCAUUAUUCAAAUCAUUAGACCACAAUCUAUACUCGACAACAAUAUCAAAGUCCCACACUCUAAAUUUACAUCCAUCAUUAAAAGGGCAGUAUUCAUUAAAGAAAGAAGAAACAACAUCCCACGUCAUACAAAAUUUUUAAACGAAAAAGUGGAACUAUAGACAUUAAAUGCGCAUUGGAAAGCAGUGGCUACGUAGAUCAAUCACAUAAAGCGGUGCGCUCCACGUCGGAUUUUUUACACCGCCCGCGGUGCACAAAGAAUUUCUCCAAAUCCUAAAGCUUCUGAAUAUUCAUUUUUUUUUUCUUAUUUAAGAGGGUACUCCCAACAUGGUCUAUUUCUAUGGUGACCAUUAUUUAAGUGUAUAUCCACUUCACUUGGUCUUACUCUCAGCAACAAUGCACCAUCAGUCUUACUGUCCAUAUAACACUCUAUUAUUGGAAUAUCUUUGGCAUGUUAGAAACUCCGUUACAGCCCUUUAUAAGGGGGCCCUCUUGAAAUUUGAAAUUUGAAAUGUCAAUAUUUCUGAAGGAACCGAAACAUAGAAUAUUAUUGAUCUCUUUGAGAAAAUCCCGAACAUUCUUCAGUUAAUCAUAAACACUGUAAACUGUAAGGAUUGAAAAUGUCUCCAUCCAUGGAUAUCAAACAGCUUAUAAUUGAACUGAUGAUGGGCUGCAUUGGUGCCAUAUGCCGUGCUUUAAGUUGCUGAAUUUAUGCAUCCAAUUCUUGAUGCUCGUGUCCCCAUUUACCAUCAGUUGCUGUCCAUUGCUAUCAUAAUUAUAUCAAAUACAACUAUAUAUUGAUUUUCUAUUUAAAAUAUUAAUUCCAGAUAUUUUUGUUUAUAAUUUUGUGUUUUAUUGGAAUUUAUUUCUUUAUUCUCCAUUUAUAGACAAUAGCAGUUGCAAACAUUGUUUAGUUUUGGCUGUUUGUUUUCACUCUUAUUGUUCAUCCUUUUUAUGUAAAAUAGGGGCCAUAUCCUGUGUAAUCCUACCCUUUCCGAAAUCCUUUUGCAUGUCCCCUGUUCACGUAUGUAUGGCUCAAAUCUUUUUUCAGACUGUUCUAUAUGAAUUUUACAUCAUAGAACAGGACUAAUUGUGGGGCUUAUGUUGCAUAUGAUGUUUCAUUAACUGAUUCUCUGCCUCCUUAUUCUCCUUCGAUAGAGUCUCAAGUUUUUCUUUAUAUAUAUAUAUAUAUAUUAUGUUCACCUAAUUUGUACCCCAUAUCUAACUCCCAUGCCUUCUACCUCAUCCCACAUAUGUGCCGUCGCAUAACAUGAUGAGAUAUUUUAUCACUCAAAGCGCAUAAUGUAAUUUAACCAAUGAUUGUCACCCUUAGGUUUCCUGGAUGACUCUGUCAUCCAUGUGCCCAGACUGCUAGCUCAGAAACACUAUCCAAUUAUUAGAGGAUUGGUAUUGGUUAAAUUUGGUCAUUCACACCUCCAGUUUAAGUUCCCUGUCAAAGCAAGUUCCUAAAUCUUUCUUCCUUUGUCUUUAUUUAUUUAUUUUUUAAAAAAAAUAUGAUUUUGUUAUUGUAUCCACCUCCUUUAAACCUGUUCAUGCAAAAGGAAACCUUAUUCCUUGAUGAAGCACCACCUGGUCUUUUGUCGGACAAACAAUGCCAUCUUAAUUAAUUUUUCCUUUCCUGUGCUUUUUAUACACCUAAAAAUUGUGUCUCCUGAAACUUAAUCAUGCAUUCGCUUCAACAUCCUUACUUCACUAUGCUCAUUUUAUGUGUUUGUCUCUUCUUAUUGACAUUUUAACAUCUAUAAAAUUAUGACCUUGUUGCAGUAUACUCAGCGUUGUGAGAUGAUCAUCAACAAUACAGCAUAUCCAAUUUAAAUUGGCCUACAAUUCUUUGACAAUAUGUUAAUGUUUCAUUUUCUUUUUGAAUUACAUAAGCAGGAAAAUGGAAGUUGAUACUUUAGAUGCUUCUACAGUCCUACUUAUGAUGAUUAGUGAAGUCAUGUGGAUGCUAAUAUUUCAAUCAUGUCUCAUAGGAUGUUAACUAAUUGCUGAAGUCCUAUGCUAAUGAGUGGUAGCAGUAGCCUGUUUGUAUCUCUCUAAUUGCAGAAGGCGGCUUCCUGAAACCUUUCUGUUGUAUAAAUUAUUGCUCUAGCAUAUCUUCAUCUGUUAGUUCAGCACCAAACACUGGCGUAGAGCUGCAAGAGAUUCAGAAGCAAAUCAAAAAAUGCUUAUCACCAGGAAUAGUGUGGGUGCAUCUUGUAGGUCCUACAAUCCAUCUUCCCUCAGCUUGUCUGCUGCUGCAUGUGAGACUGAUGCACUCUCCUCUAAUAAGUUGAAGGAAAAAUAUGCGUCUUCUGCUUUUAAUACCAAGCCUGGUUCCCCAUCAACUUAGUUCAACAGCAAAUGGGGUGUAUAUGGAAAAGUCUGCAGACUUGAUAGGCAACGCAUGGUAGAUGAAGUACAUCUUCACAGAUUUGAUGGCCUACUGGUAACUCAUUUAUCUUACAUGGAUAACCCCUGCAAUUCGUGUUCAUAGGAAACAUGUAUCGUUUCUUAGUUUUUCUGAUGGUAUGGUUUGCAUGAAGGAAAAUGGAGGGGCUCAUCAAUGUGUUAUUGCUAGCAUCACGGUCAAGGCAUCAAUUCAAGAAGUAUGGAAUGUGUUGACCACCUACGAGGCAUUGCCCAAGUACUCAUUUUCUUCUUUAUGCUUCCUUUUGUUGUUGUGGAAGAGUUCUACUUCUAUCAUUCAAAAAUUAAAAGUAUGCUUUUGUUUUUAUUUGUCAGUUUACUUAGUGUAACUGCGUAACUUUACACAUUAACUAAUGCAAACUUCUUCCACGAUAUCAUGAUAUCAGGAACUGCUGAUCCCCUGAGAGUCUCCUUUUUAAAAAAUUAAAAAGUAGUGUUGUUACAAGAUUUUUGUCCCAAACAUGCAGCAAAGAAAUAUCAUGCUUCUGUAAAUGCUUGUAUCUGUUGCUUGUAUUUUAUGCACCCGAUAAUUUAUUUUAACUAAUUGCUAAGUGCUAAUGCAUUCCCUUUAUUAAGUUUAUUCAUUCUCCUGUACUAUUUAGUAUAAACUUGUUCCUAACGAUUUUUUUCCUUCACAGGAUUGUCCCAAAUUUGGCUAUCAGUAAAAUCCUGUGUUGAGAUAAUAAUAAGGUUCGCAUUCUACAGGUAUGGUGUAGAAGAUCUUACAGAAUGCUAUAAUCAUUUUAAUGACCUUUUACUUUGAUGCAUUGAUUUUCCUCUCUUCGAUCACUGAAGCUGCUACAGUCGUCAAAUUUGAAGUGAUUUCUCUCCUUCAAUAUCUCGUGUAUAAUCUUACUUAUAGACACAUAUGUUUUGUCUGCUUUGGUCUUCAUUAACUUGCAAUGGAACCAACAGCUAAAUCUGUAUUGAUAGAACUAAUGAAAAGCUAGAUGAUAUAAAGGUGUACAUUUCCCAUUUUUAUGCCAAAAUUGAUGGAAUGACCAAGCAAUUAACAACGGGCAAGUCCUUGCUUUGCCAAUCAACGAUCAAAUGGGUUGACUUUUCCAGUUGGACCAUUUAAUAAGUCUUUUUUAGUUUUAUAAAAAAAUGCUUUAAUAAAGAGGAGUUCCCAUUCACUGUUGGAUUGAAUAUUGGUGGGUAGGUUUGUUUGACCAAUUGAGUCGAUAACUCAUGUAGUUUAAAACAAUUCAUAAGGUGACUAAAAUAAAAGCUACAAUUUAUGAAGAUUACUGAAAGUUAAAGUACAUUACAGAAGAUAACUAAGGAUAAAGAUAAAAUGCCCACCUACUAAUCACUUUCUAAUGUAAAUACUUCCUAACCCAAUCUUCAUGUGCCACAUUUGUAUCUUCACAACUACUUUUCUAUGUCAUCUCAAUGUGCCACAUACUUUUCCUCACAAAUUCCUGCAAAAUCAUUAAAAAAGAAAAAUGAAACUUUUGUUUAGCUUUAUAAUCAAAUCAAACCAAAUCAAAUUGUCAGCCAAGGUUUUGAAUUAUUCAUCCAUGUAUAAUUGAUGGUCUUGAUUUUCAUGCAACCAUAUCAACUGCAAUUUAUCUAUUUGACUUUGGUUUUCAAUUACAAAAUCAACCCAUUGGUCAGAUCUUUAGUUGAUUGGCCAUGUUUCCAUCCUGCAACCAUGAUCUUGGUUGAUAAAUAAUGAGUGGGAUCCAUUAGACAUAAAACCCCUUUUGAAUUUUAUCUUAAAAUAGAUCAAUUAUCAAUCAUCAUUAUAACUAAUGAUGCUGAUUAGAGUACCACCAUAAGAGAUCAUAUAAGAUCCAAAAAAAAGGUGUAAUAAAGUACUGACCUUAAAAGCUAUGUUUUUAAUAAUGAUCCGCUGUUAAUUUGUUCUUCUUACUCACCAGCAGACUAUGAUGUUGUUGGCUGUGCCCUCCUUUGCUGGCAAAAGGAAAAAUGGAACACAAACUUUCCACCUUUAUUGCCUAACCAAUAGAUAAGUUUUACUUCCAAGGCAAGGUUUCUCUCCUUUUUUGACCUUAAAGUUCCUAUCUGUAAGUAUGGAGGCGUGAUCAUCUCCAAAACUUAUUUCGAAUUCUACAGCAUGUACCCAUGUUCGCUUGCUAACCACUUUGCUAAUGUAAUCACUGCAUGCCACAUAGUUAUGACCUUGUUCAAACUGCGAGCAUCAUGUCUUUCUCCAUAGUUACUGUCCUAUCUAAUCUCCAUGUUCCACAUGUCCUCCAUAACAUCUAGUGAAAUAAUGUGGUUAAUAGUUUUUAUAGUAAGACUAUCAUGCUAAUUGCAUAGUGACUUGCUUUAUAAGCAUUGAUGCUGGGAAUAAUAUAUAAUGUUGCAGUUUGAUGCUUUGCCUGUCAGAAUCCUCUCUCUUUCUCAUAUUAUGUCAGGAUGAUGUAAUCUUCAUUUAUGAAUACUUUAUCUUCAUGAAAUUUCUGGACUACGUCCUCUGGUAUGUCAGCUCAAUUAGCAAUUACAGUUUUUGAGAAGAAGAAAAAGAAAAAUUCAUUAUUUUUUGUUUUACAGGGGGGUUGCAAGGGCCUAUUAUAUAUGGUUCUUCAAGCACGUGUUGUUUUGGAUUUGCAUGAAGAACUUGAAUUAGCUUUGAGCAAGUUGAAGGGGUUGCGCUUGUGAGGAGCUAGGGACUUGGAAAUUGGUUUCUUUGACCCCCUAUGAAAGGCUGUGUGUGACACGAAUGGUUCUAUUUUUUUCCCAAUGGCGUUGUAAUAUAGUGGUACUGCCCUAUGAAUUUAUAGAGAAGGAAAGAAAGGAAAAAAGGCAGCUUUGUUUUGGUUUUGGUAAAUUAUUGGAACACAACAUACAGCAAAUAGUUCAACGCUAUAUAACAAGUCCAAAAAGGUGUUAAGCAGUCCUUUUGUUCACUUGGUUGUAUGCCAGUUUGUUGCAAGUAAUCUACAGGCAGCCAGUUGCAGAGGUUUGAUUGCGAAUCACUUAGAUGCAGGCAGUUGAGUACUAACUUUUUCUGGUCCUUCAAACAGCUCCUUUUAUGCAAAUGCACAUAUUUGUUGCGCUUGCUGUGCACAUUCAUGGGGUCGGUUGCAUAUUUAAAUCCAAGGCAAAAUUGUCCAAAAAUUUGAACUUGGUCAUUUCUGUGUAAAAAACAACGAAUAGAAGAAGUCCAAAUUUGCAAAUUCAAAAAUAAAGUGGGCCUUCAUCAAAAUAAAUAAAUAAAUAAAGUGGGCCUUCUCUGCAAAGUUCUCCUGUUUCUUUGAAUCUUUAGCAUCUAGAAAACAAAAUGACACUACAAACUGAUGGUUGCCCGACGCCGAAAUUCAUUCCCAUAUAUCUAUUUCGGUUCUUGUCGAUUAAACUAUUAGUGCUGACUUUGUAAAUGACCUGUUUUCCAUGCAGAUAAGAUGAUUCCAGAAGAACUGGGGAAUGGAUCCUGCUUACAUGCCCAGUAGGAAAUCUUUCGAGCGUGCAGGUGAGGGACAACUGCUGUAUUCUUUAAAAUACUACUUAAUCUUGCUCGGAUGGACCUAUACAGCUGUCGAACUGAUGCUAGAUGGCUGUAAUGGUAAAGGCCGGACAGAAGCCAUGUUCUGGCAGUAAAUUUACUUCAGUUCAUGCCCAACCUUGGAGCACUAGUGUUGGAAGCAGGCAAGCCUUGGAGCCAGCUACUGCAGCCAGUUCGGAAUGCUUGCAUUUUUAACACCUGAACAAAUUUAGGAUCCUUGGAGCCCUAGGAUGUCCUUAGGAGGUGAGAGUAUGGUUUGCAUGCAUGAUGCGAUCGAACUAUUAGAUCUUCAAGAUUCUCAAAGGGUUUCCUGAAUUGAUGCAAGUCAUGGUCUAAAUAAAACGGCGUAGCAUCAAAAGAACUGUUUGGUUCUUUUGAACUGCGAAACCUAAUCUUGCACUGAGUUUUAUAAGGUGGUAUCAUUUUGAAGUCAAGUAUUUCUUAAAAAAUCAUAUACCAAAGCAAAUUCAAAAGAAGCUUCUACUUAGCAUCACGUGCAAUUUGGCGUGCUAAUCUAAAUGGGAAUGCAAGUUGGGACAAAUGCAGGAUUAUGGAUGCAAAUAUAUGUGCAUUAAUAUCGAUAUGAACAUUCACAGCAUAUAUCCAUUGGUGAAUGCAUGAAUUUUUAUAAGUUGGGUUUUUUACUAAAUCAUGUAAUUAUUUCAAUAACUGUGUCAAGCUAUGUUAGUCCUCUUCUUUGCUCCUUUCUGAUAGCAGGAUGGUUGAGUCCACAUUCUAAAUACCAACUCCUUCAAGUCAAACAUGGACAACCCCAGUAUUUAGCAAAAGCAGUAACGAUGAGACAAUUUACUGUUCAUCUACCACUUCAGUCACAUCUGAAGGCUCCUUCUCAGCAUGAUCGAUUAAAGAUAUAAUGAUAUCAACCAAUGCCAACCCUUUUUCCGACAAAGGAGGAGCUAAGUAGAGGCAGUGGGCCAUCCGAAAGAGUGGUUCAGGUGACUGCAUGAUCAGCUAAAGAUAUAUAAUGUCACUCGGAUUCUCUAUCAUCUGAGACAUUAAUCAUAUACAAGAAUGAAUCAGUAUCAUAGAUGACUAAUAUUUACAAACGAAAACAAGAACAAAUUCAAAAAUUAUUAAUUGAACUCAUUGCCAAGCCCUAACUGUAAGGCACGAAAGCAUCAUGAUUAGUCUCUUUUUUUAGAUGAAAUAAGCAAGCAUGCACGUAGAAUAGCACUCCGGAUAAAGUUGUCAUUUGAUAUUGCCUUUCAUGCUUGGUUCAAGCAAAACAACUGAAAGUUGGCAAUAAGUUGGUGAUGUUAUAGCGUAUUGAUUACAUAGAAAUGUAGGUGCCUCUUUUCCUAUUUUUUUUUUGGGAAACAAUUAUAACGAACGGAAUGGAGAAAGUCCCUAUAUAUCCAAUGAACUUUGCCUUUUUUGAAAACAAGAAAAUCAGAUAUUGUAUGGAUGCAUUGCAGAAAGACCAAGACAACGGAAUAAUUUCUCAGGGUAACCGAUGUUGUACAAUACAAAAAUAUGUAUAUGGAAAUGGACAAAAAGAGUGAUCAGUUUUGACCACCUUAGUUGAGACAGGUUAUGCAUUAUAGAGACCAAGGUCAUGUUCAGUGAUGCCCAUGGCCUUGAACAAGAAAAGUAAUCCAAAGUUUUGAUAAUAAGCAAUCAGUUAUGACGAAGAAAUAUGGCUAGAAAAUGAUAAAACAACUAGGGACGGCAAUAGAACAGAUAUAAAUCGGGUUGGCCUAAACCCAUACCUAAGUAAAAAUCCUAUACUCAUAUCUACCCUAUGUCCGCCUCAAGUCAAAUUAAGUAAAGAUAUAGGUCAGAUUGGAUCAGCUACAUGUAAAUAAUAUAAAAUUAUAAUUUUGAAUAGGAGACAUAUAUUAAAGUUUUAUUAGGUCGGAUCCAAAUCGGGGCAUACCAUUUCCGGUACCUGAUCUGAAUUUGUUUCAGAUAUUUUUUCUAGAAUCCAUACAUAUUCUGGGUUCCUAUCGGGUCGGAUAUCCGGUGGGUCGACUAAAAUUGUCAUCUUUAAAAAUAAGGUGACGAUUUCUGACACAACUAUAUAGCUAUGAGACAAUUAAAACGAAGUUAUUUCUAUUGUUUUCCUUCUUCCUUUUUAUUCUUCUACUUUUUUGUGUGUGUGAUGGCAUAGAAACAACUAUACAUGUGUUCCAAUACUUAUGAGGACCUUGGCCUUACAAUGUGUCUGACGUUUGGAAGGGAAGAACAAAUGCCUAGGGUAGAAUUACUAUAUAUGGUCUCUUCUAACAUAGAACUAAGAGAGAUGUAUUGAAAAUUUUCUGAAAACCAUGUUCAUUUUUAAUCCCUAAGGUGACAUUUUAGAAGAUUGCAGCACAAACCGGAAAAGGCAAAAUAUGGUCAGGAAAGUCUUAGCAGGGGGAAUGUGGAGUUAAUUCGGUUCUUCUGAGACAAGGCCAAGUGGGUUGGAGACCUUACUAAUGUGAUAGAACAAUAGAUUGCCAUGAAGAAUACCACUAUCUAAGGGAAGUUAAUCUUCAAUAUUGUUUAAGGGUUGGAGUAGAGCAAUACAUAUAAAUAACAAGAGGUGAAGAUAGCCUUGAGGCAGCCAGUUCCAUAUCUGGUUGCAGUUUGUAGCUAUGUUUUGCUAGAAGCUCCUCUAGAUAUAAGAACAACCAUUGAUUUUACAGUGCUUAAGUAUAUUUGUUUCAUGGCCUUCUUGAAGCUUUUCCUUUUUGUUAGUUGAAAACCUUAAUAAGAUAAUUAUGCCUUCAGACAAACAUUACAUUACAAUGAUUACACGCAUAAACUUUUCCAAAGCAAAUUGGUAGCUGACAGGGAACUAAAGAUGUUGUCACCAAGGCUCGGGGAAGAAAGAAAUACUGGCAGCUCAUAAAUAUUCAAUUUUAUUACUUGUCCCAGUCAAUUAUAACGUAAUUUACAUUCAAUUAUCAUCAUAUUUCAAGUCAUGGAAGAGUAGUCUAAUAUCUUCUAUAUAAGCAAUUCAUGGUUGCUUACUGCGUUAUCAUGAGCAACCUCACACUUCUUAACUAUGUUGCCUAAAGCCAGGGCCAGUUAUUUUUGAAUUUCGGUCAAUAGCAAUAAAUGAUAUAGGAGGUUUUGAGUAGAAAUGUUCUUUAUAAAUUCCAUUUUGAAAAUAUUUUAGGUCAGAAAAUUCUAGUUUUUUACUUUAACACAUCUUAAUAGCCUUCCAAUAAAAGUAAAUGGGAUGGCAUUUUUCUAGAGUGAAAUUAUCAAAGAAAGUGUUUCUCUUUUUAUUUUUUCCUUUUUCUUCAUUUCAGGUUAACAUGAAAGAAAAUUAGAGCCCAGAUUACCCCAAUAGAUGUAAUUUGACUUGACAAAUUAUAAAGUUCAUGACCCUCUCCACAGAAGUUAAGAUCCAAAAUCUGUUGAGGAUCCAAGUAACAGAUCCCUAGAAAAUGUUUUCCUCCGUAUUUCUUCAUUCUGAAUUUACUUUUCCAAUCAAAUUGACUUCCCUAGUUAUAUUUAACCACAAAAAGACUCAAAUUCUUCCGUUCCCUCUUCCCUUUGCAGCAACUAAGUCUAAAUCUAUUCCAUACCCAGAUCUCAUCCAUCCAAACAUCAAGAAAAAGACUCUAAGAACCCGAAAAAUUGUAGCUUUAGCGGAUCAGAUCAAAUCCUCAAAAAAGAACUCCAUAAAAAAAAAAAAUGCAUGGCAUGUUAUUGAAUACAUAUGAGAGUAAAUAAACUAACAACAUAGUUGAAAGUUAUUGUACAAAACCAAGAUAAACCAAGUGAGGCUCAAUAAAAUGAUCAAUAUAAUGUCUAAACAACAAAAUCUAUUUUUACAAUCUGAUGUCAAUGGUGAUGCAUAUUCCAGCAUGAACCUUGUCUACAAGAACUUCAGCUCAACCCUUCAUAUAGGUCUCAAUGCUUAAACUAAACAAUAAACCAACAAUUUCAUUAAAACAUUGUGUACAGAACCAAGAGAAACCAAGUGACACUCAAUAACAAGAUUCAUAACGUGUCUAAAGAACAAAGUCUUUUCCCAUUCUGAUGUCAAUAAUAAGUAUUGUAAGUUUGUAACACAUGUUCCAGAUUGAAACCUGAUACGCAUAGAACUUCAGCUCAACCUUGCAUAUAGUUCACAAUGCUUAAACUAAGCAAUAAAACAGAGGUGAGUCUGACAAGCUUUGAUGAGAAGAAUGCCUCGGUUUAUGACGCAGAGGUAGUGCAGUUGUUGAUUAUUGCUAGCACACAGAUCACUUAUGCUGAUAGAAACUCUCUUAAACAUGUAUAAAACUGACAGAGGGACUGAAAAGAUAAAAAAAGAAAAAUGAUAGAGAGAUCUUUCAGAUAAACUUGGUAGCUCAGUAUCAACCAGUAUCACAUAUUAUUAUGCCUCUUAACAACAACUAACAUGGGACUGGAAUUUCAAGGAAUCUCUACUGGGGGAAGUAUGAUCGGAGUCCAUUACAUUCAACAAAAUAUUCAAUAAUUUCAUACUAGAUUUACUAAACUUUGAAUGGCAUAUUGGUUCCAGUUGGCUGGCAAAAAUGCAAGUUUGACUACCAACGUGGAUAAAUAGCAUCAACUAAAAAUCUUUCAAGUAACCUCACCCAUAAUUGAUGCUGGUUAACAGAGCAAGCAGACCAAACAACUGAAACUACGAUCAGGUGGAAUAUGGCACCACAAAAUUUUCUUUUGCUUUUGCAAAACACUGCCUAAGUUCGAAUAACUUGAGGCAUGGAAAUCUGAAUAAUUAUCACCGAGUCCAUCACUAUCAGCAAAUUCAUAAUAUAUUUUUUGGAUGCCUCAAACCAAGAAGGAAAAAGAAAAUUCAAGUUCUUUUCUAGGCCAACCAAAGUUUAGAUGAAUAUAAGAUGUUAGAAAUAUAAGAGAUAAAUAAGAAAUUAAGAACAUGAUAAAACAUAGAAUAAUCCUUCUAUCUUUAUAUGAACUCAAAUAAUAACAAAGGAAUUAAUUCACAAUAUACAUUACCCUUAUCUUCUGUACGCCUUCCAUCGGACCCUUUCAACGGAUCGAUACGAGGCUCUAUCGCAUGCCCAAACCAAAACCUUCUCCCCCAAGCAUGCGGCAGCAUCAGCGGCCACCACCACCUCCUCGCAGGCAAAUCAAACAUCAACACAGUAGUAUACAGAUUGUUGAAGAAACAAACAAUCCCCCUCCGUGCUACCGUUGAGAAACGAAACUGAGUGAGCCUACCAUGUCGAAAUACUCUGAAAAAUUCAUCAGGCAUGAAGCAGAUCGACCUCCAUUCUUUCUUUGGCAAAUCAAGCUCCCAAAUCCCAACCCCAGCAAUGCAUUCCAACACCUCCACGCCCCCAACCAAGAACAAUCUGUCUUCAUAAUCCAAGAUAUGAGAACAAACAACCCGCGGCAUCGCCACGUCUACGAGGUUCCAAUCGCCGCCGAUCGGAUCGAAGGUCAAUAGAUGAUCGGGCUCAUGGCUGAGGACGAACAGUAGGCCGUCCAAGAACACGGCGUUGCCGAGAUAGGAAAAUUUGCCAGGAAACUGGCCCUUGAGCUCCCACCGGCCGGAACGGGAGUCGAAGACCUGGGAGUAGAUGGGAUCGCUGGAGCUGACGGCGACGAUCUUGUAAUGGGCCGAGGGGAAUUCAUCGAUAAGAGCGAGGACGUAGGGAUAGUCGACGCUCUCCAUUGCGGGAAGGAGGACGAGGGUGGCGCCGGAGAAGAGGUUGUAGACGGCGAGGCGUCUGUGGUCGUCCAAGGCCACGAGGAGGCCGCCGUCGGAGGCGAGGGGGAAGAAGAAGGAGGGGGGAGACCGACUCUGAACCAGCGGUCGCGGGAGGGCUGGUAGGCCGCGGGGGAGUCGUGGUCGGCGAAUGGGAGGAGGUAGAGGUCGUCGGGGUGGCGGCGGAGGGAGGAGAGGAAGGUGGGUGAGCGGAUGCUGGAGCGCCAGGAACGGGAGACGUACUGGCAGCGGGCGAGGGUGGAAACGGGAAGGUNNNNNNNNNNNNNNNNNNNNGGGAGAGGAUGGAUUCUUGGAUGUCGAGAGGGAGGAGGUCCCACGGGAAGAAGGGGGCCGGGUCUUGAUCCGAUUUGGAAGAUUGCUCCAUUUCCAUUGGGUAUGCAUCGGAUUUGGAAGAUUGCUCCAUUUCGAUUGGAGGGAUCUUCGGUUGAAGGCUGCGUGGCGUUCGUUUCUACAAAUAAUCUUUCCAGGUAAUAUGUAAUAUUUAUACCAUAAAAACGAGGGAUUUUCUUUUUCUUUUUAUUUUUGAAGGGAGUAAGAAAAAUUAAAAAAUUCAAAACUAUGGCAAAUCCUAUACGAAACUUAUGAAUAUUAUACAUGUACGAGCAUCUAAUAAGCAAGUUUCUCAUAUUUUUGAGAAAGAAGAUAGGCUGCAAAUUAACGGCUAGAAUCUUGAAUAGAAUCAAUAGUAUCAAUCAAACAAAAAUUUAAAUUAAAAAUCUCCUAAUAAUAAGUUGAAUCUGUGGAUCAAUAUUGGAUCGAACAACUGGUAGGUUUAUGAUAUGUUAUUGGUUUAAGAGUAGGUUGUUUAGGCCUUUAGAAAAGUCAGUUUUAAAACUAAUUCUACUUACAUAUAUUUUGUUGCUCUCGAUCUCUGUGCCUAAGGUCGGACCUGUCGAGGUGGAGAUGUCUAAGAUGCAGUUGUUGGAGCUCCAUUCAAAAACCUACAAAAUAUCCCUAUCAGGAUAUUCUUUGGGGGAGAUCUUCUGAUGCUCAAAUCAGGAGAUGGAGAACAAUAAGAGGGAGAGAGUGGGAGUGAAAAAUUUAUUUUGAGGAUCUCUGUGUCCCUUUAUUUAUAAGAGAGA